rnacentral:lncRNA from 1 species
GGGGCUCUCUGAGUCUAAUAUGGCGCUAUUGGCAGAGCUAAUGUCUUCUUGCUUGCAUAGCAUGGUCUGGCCAUGCAAUUUCUUCACCUCAAAGGCCAAAGUGGAGUCUAAAUUCUGCAAAUUAUCAGGUAAUCUUUUUGGCUCAAAUGAUUCCAAGCUGCCAUUCUCCUCCUUCAGAAGUCUUUUUGUGAGAGAAAGAACCUGUUGUGAGGAAGCCGAUGCGGAUAAGAAUAUAUCCACUAGCAUUUAAAAUGAUAUCAAGAAUUCAGUGUAAUGCAUUGAUGUAGAUCUUCAAAAUUAAAUAGAUAAAACAGCCUUUUCCUGUAUAAUCAAAUUAGAGAUUCUCAUGAAAAUCCAAACGAUCAAGCUUAGAAUUAGUAAACCCAGUGUAAAUAACAUCAGAUAACAGUAUCGCUUCAUGCUAGAGGCUGUGUUUUACUUGUAGGGAUAUUUGAAGUUCUCAUAAUUGCCUAUAUAUCAGGUAAUAUUGUUAAGGAGUUGAUAGUCACAUGUUUGUGCUGUAAUUACCUCAGCCUUUAGGUCUUCCUUUUCCUUCACAAGGCUAUCAUGAUCCAUCUUGAGAGCAUCAUAACUUGAUUUCAGGGACUCAUAAUCCUUUUCUAUCUGCUUCGUCUUCCAUCUUGCACGGCGAUUCUGAAACCACACAGCAAUCUGCCUGGGCUUUAGUCCGAGAACCUUUGCAAUCUGAAGCUUCCUCUCAGGCUCAAGCUUGUUUUCCAACUCAAAGCUCU